UUGUCUCCUUUUGGCUAGGCCAAAAUACUCCCAGACUGAUCUCAAGACUGAAGUCUUGUAUUUCAGCAUCUGAGACAGCGUAGUCUGCAUGCAGCAGUUCUCCAAUAAGAAUGCCUUCCAUUUUUGUUUUUCAACAGAGUCUUGAAAGAUUAAAUAAGUUGCCUGUGCUGCGGCUGUGCAACAGAAUGCCCGAGGCAUCAGGGAAGGCAUGGCGCAGAAGAGCGAAGUAGAAUACUCCAAAAUCUUUAUACACGAGAACACGUUGAUUUUUCCCCACAAAGGAGUACCGGCCCACUCGAAGGCACGUAAAGGCUAGGCACAUACCAUACUAGCUCGGAAGACGCCAGCAACUCACGCUUCUUCGCCUUCGCAAGACUACGCCUGCCUCAAGCUUUCACGACCAAAUGGAGCAAUGAAUAUUCCUUUGGAAGCACAAUUUCUACCGUGGACGGGAGCUGGCACAUUAUCUGCUGGAUCAGCUAAACAACAUCAUUCGUUAAGAGUGGCAAUACCACAUCGUGAACCUGCUGUUGCCACACCCGCACGCUUUCAAUCCCCGGCCGAGUCCAGCGGACAGGCACAGGAUUGUUGAAGGUCAGGUGUCAGUGGGGAAAUGGACUUCUUGUCAGCUCCGAUUGCGUCUCCCUCCGCGCUACCCUUUCUCUGUCUCAUCUGGGGUAAGAAGCUCAAAUGUCACCAGCAAGCUAUCAUUAUGGUAACUGUGGCCUUUUCAAGUCACAUCCUCGUUCCGCUCACCUGAGCACUGGCAACUCU